CUACGGGCCGCUGCAGUGAGGAAUUUUGCGCAAUGGGGGAAACCCUGACGCAGCAACGCCGCGUGAGCGAAGAAGGCCUUCGGGUCGUAAAGCUCUGUCAAGUGGGAAAAAAAUUCUUUGAUGAACAGUCAAAGGACUUGAUGGUACCACUGGAGGAAGCACCGGCUAACUCCGUGCCAGCAGCCGCGGUAAUACGGAGGGUGCAAGCGUUGUUCGGAAUUACUGGGCGUAAAGAGCGUGUAGGCGGUUUGACAAGUCAGAUGUGAAAGCCCCGGGCUCAACCCAGGAAGUGCAUUUGCAACUGUUUCACUAGAGUAUGGGAGAGGAGAUUGGAAUUCCUGGUGUAGAGGUGAAAUUCGUAGAUAUCAGGAGGAACACCCGUGGCGAAGGCGAUUCUCUGGACCAAUACUGACGCUGAGACGCGAAAGCGUGGGGAGCAAACAGGAUUAGAUACCCUCGUAGUC
rnacentral:rRNA from 1 species